ACUUUUAUCUCAGGUGUAAGUAAUGAGAUGUGUACUGCUUCAUUAAGUAACGUUUGUUUAAAUUUUGAUCAAGGGGGAUAAAAGCGAGUAGCAGAGAUCCCCUCCCCCCCACAUCGUCAUCAACAGUCAACAGUCAAUUUUGAAAGUUGAAUUUUUCUCUCCUCUUCACAUAUAUAAACCUCGUUUAUUUUUAAAAACAAUAAAAAAAUGACUUAUUUAUUACCAAUACAAAAAGUUAUUUUUCUUUCAUUGCUGGAGUAAAUUUAACAAUUUCUGAACUAAGUAACAGCAAGAUUGAAAAAUUUCUUCAUUUUUGGUUCAAGUAAUUCACGGAGCAGGAAACUUGGAGUCAAUAAAUCAACUAAGAAGUAUCUUAGAUCUUAUAUAAAAAGGAUUUACAAUAAAGGAUUGACUGCCCAAACAAAAUAAGGGUGAAGUCACUUCAGCGGAGCGGGCUGCCGUGAUGAAAGGGUGAAGUCACUUCAGCGGAGCGGGUUGUGACGAAAGGGUUAAGAUAAACUUACUUCUAAACGAAACUAAUUCAGUUGCAACUGUCUCAAAUUUUCAAGAACCUUCAAUAAAUAAGCGAUCAAGGGCCUCUUUUUAAUUUAGUGUCCAGAACUUGGAACUUGAUAUCUUAAGGCCUCACUGACAUCUCGAGCAAACUUUAAGAAGAGCUUUCAAAUAAUCGUGAACUUUAUUCAGCCUACUUAAUCCCCGUAAAAGGAAAGUGGAAAAAAAAGGAACGAAUGCAGAAGAAAACACCCCCUAGUGCCUAGGAUUAGAAGCAAUUGCAAAAAGAGUGAAAAAAAAUUCAAGUUGUAUUCCCUGAAGUAAACAAAGUAUCUGAUUUGACUGAAACGAACUUUUAGAACUAAAAGAAUAUGAAGAGAAACAGCAGUUUUUUUUUCUUUUCCGUUCUCAUUGUAAAGAAUGGAAAUGAAAUGUUUGUUUCUUGAUCUUUUGAAAACACUUAAUACGCACAGUUAUGUGCUUCGUGAAACUGUAAUUCGUUGAAGUAAAAACUCACUUAAACUUGGA